UACGUAGGUGACAAGCGUUGUCCAGAAUUAUUGGGCGUAAAGGGAGCGCAGGCGGUUGGAAUAGUCUGAUGUGAAAGCCCACGGCUUAACCGUGGAAGGUCAUUGGAAACUGUCCAACUUGAAUUCAGAAGAGGUAAGUGGAAUUCCAUGUGUAGCGGUGAAAUGCGUAGAUAUAUGGAGGAACACCAGUGGCGAAGGCGACUUACUGGUCUGUGAUUGACGCUGAGGCUCGAAAGCGUGGGUAGCGAACAGGAUUAGAUA
rnacentral:rRNA from 1 species